rnacentral:rRNA from 1 species
AGAGUUUGAUCAUGGCUCAGAUUGAACGCUGGCGGCAGGCCUAACACAUGCAAGUCGAACGGUAACAGGAAUCAGCUUGCUGAUUUGCUGACGAGUGGCGGACGGGUGAGUAAUGUCUGGGAAACUGGAGGGCUCCUUAUGGAGGGGGAUAACUACUGGAAACGGUAGCUAAUACCGCAUAACGUCGCAAGACCAAAGAGGGGGACCUGGGCCUCUUGCCAUCGGAUGUGCCCAGAUGGGAUUAGCUAGUAGGUGGGGUAACGGCUCACCUAGGCGACGAUCCCUAGCUGGUCUGAGAGGAUGACCAGCCACACUGGAACUGAGACACGGUCCAGACUCCUACGGGAGGCAGCAGUGGGGAAUAUUGCACAAUGGGCGCAAGCCUGAUGCAGCCAUGCCGCGUGUAUGAAGAAGGCCUUCGGGUUGUAAAGUACUUUCAGCGGGGAGGAAGGGAGUAAAGUUAAUACCUUUGCUCAUUGACGUUACCCGCAGAAGAAGCACCGGCUAACUCCGUGCCAGCAGCCGCGGUAAUACGGAGGGUGCAAGCGUUAAUCGGAAUUACUGGGCGUAAAGCGCACGCAGGCGGUUUGUUAAGUCAGAUGUGAAAUCCCCGGGCUCAACCUGGGAACUGCAUCUGAUACUGGCAAGCUUGAGUCUCGUAGAGGGGGGUAGAAUUCCAGGUGUAGCGGUGAAAUGCGUAGAGAUCUGGAGGAAUACCGGUGGCGAAGGCGGCCCCCUGGACGAAGACUGACGCUCAGGUGCGAAAGCGUGGGGAGCAAACAGGAUUAGAUACCCUGGUAGUCCACGCCGUAAACGAUGUCGACUUGGAGGUUGUGCCCUUGAGGCGUGGCUUCCGGAGCUAACGCGUUAAGUCGACCGCCUGGGGAGUACGGCCGCAAGGUUAAAACUCAAAUGAAUUGACGGGGGCCCGCACAAGCGGUGGAGCAUGUGGUUUAAUUCGAUGCAACGCGAAGAACCUUACCUGGUCUUGACAUCCACGGAAGUUUUCAGAGAUGAGAAUGUGCCUUCGGGAACCGUGAGACAGGUGCUGCAUGGCUGUCGUCAGCUCGUGUUGUGAAAUGUUGGGUUAAGUCCCGCAACGAGCGCAACCCUUAUCCUUUGUUGCCAGCGGUCCGGCCGGGAACUCAAAGGAGACUGCCAGUGAUAAACUGGAGGAAGGUGGGGAUGACGUCAAGUCAUCAUGGCCCUUACGACCAGGGCUACACACGUGCUACAAUGGCGCAUACAAAGAGAAGCGACCUCGCGAGAGCAAGCGGACCUCAUAAAGUGCGUCGUAGUCCGGAUUGGAGUCUGCAACUCGACUCCAUGAAGUCGGAAUCGCUAGUAAUCGUGGAUCAGAAUGCCACGGUGAAUACGUUCCCGGGCCUUGUACACACCGCCCGUCACACCAUGGGAGUGGGUUGCAAAAGAAGUAGGUAGCUUAACCUUCGGGAGGGCGCUUACCACUUUGUGAUUCAUGACUGGGGUGAAGUCGUAACAAGGUAACCGUAGGGGAACCUGCGGUUG